UACGUUUGGUUUGAUGCUGACCUACAGAGCUUAGCUUGUUCCUUCGUAUUCCGGAUUGAAUUAUCACUCUUUCCGUCAAGCUGCCUCCUGUCAUGUCCUCACGCUUCUUGGAGACGCGACCUUCGCCGACAUGCUGCCUGUUCAAGACAUACUUCAUUGAAAAGUGUCAAAGCAAUUGAAAUAUCAGUAUCAGCUGCCAAGAGGGAACUGCACAUAUAAAACGAGAACAGUUUUCUAUAAUCUCCCAGUGCAGGGGUGUCUAAACCACGGCUCGCGGGCCAAGUGUGGCCCGCCAGCGUCUUCAGUUUGGCCCUCAAGACGUCUGGAGUUCAAUGAAGCGUCGCAACGUCAAGUGCUUGAAUACCAGGCAGUCUCCAAAAGCCGCAGAUUUGCUGCCAUCUUGUGGACAAGGUGAAGCUUUACUAUGGAUCAGAGCGGUCAAGCGAACAUGGAUCCCGACCACUUGUCAACCGGCAGGUUUCGGUGAGAAAAUUGUGGUAAAAAGUCGCCUCUUACCGGAGAUCUGCGGAGCUUGCGCCGUCCGUGCAGCUGCCGUGACUUCCCUCAGAGACUCUGGCGUCAAGACACCCGUGGACACACCCCUCCGACUAUCAGUCCUUCACUAUCAAUUUCCUCAUCCAUGAAUCUUCCAUCCUCGCUCAAAUUAAUGGGGAAAUUGUUGCUUUCUUGGUACGACUAGCUCUUGAUGCUGGAGGCUCCCAUUAUAAACAGGAGCCCUCACACCGGUGAUGUCAGCGUCUGCGACUUCCGGUAAAGGCAAGGCUUUUUUAUUAGCGACCAAAAGUUGCAAACUUUAUCGUGGAUGUUCUCUACUAAAUUCUUUCAGCAAAAAUAUGGCAAUAUGGCAAAAUGAUCAAGUAUGACAUAUAGAAUGGACCUGCUAUCCCCGUUUAAAUAAGAAAAUCUCAUUUCAGUAGGCCUUUAAGGAUUGGUUUGUUUAUGAAGCUUAUGCAUUUUAGAAACAAUCUUGUUGAAAGAUGCCAUGUUGGACCAAAAAUACAAAAAAAACAAAUCUGUCUGGAGCCGCAAAACGUUAAAAGCCUUAUGUAAGCGUUAUAAUAAGGGUG